rnacentral:lncRNA from 1 species
CUGUCCCACGUAACGAAAGCCCAUGAGAGGCUGUCCCAGGCAUAAGCUCCUGGCGGGCUGUCCCAGGCAUGAGCUCCUGGCCGGCUGAUCCACCUGUAAGCCAGUGGGGGCUGUCCCAGGCAUAAGCUCCUGGCAGGCUAUUCCACAUGACAAGACUAGUCCAUACCAUAUAUCUCUUUCUUUUCAUUAAAUCAUUAUGUGUUGCUUUCAUCAAAUCAAUUCUGACUUACAUUAUGAUCAAUUCAGAUAUGUCAUAUCCAUGUAAUCAUGCCAUCAAUCUCUGAUACAUAUAUAUAUUGACAUACAUACUCAUGCUCAAAAUCAAAUAACAGUAUCUCAGGUAUAAUAAAUUCAUCGAUCUCAAAUCCAAUGAUGCAAAAUCAAUAAUGCAAGACCAACAGUAAAAUAGCAUAUAUAUAUAAUAGUGAUCAUGUACAGGGAUUCUUACCUUUACCGGUGACUGAUCCAAGUACAGAAAUCAAUGUUCUUCUUUGAUUUAUGAAUUUCUUUAACAAAAUAUUCCACUCGAUAUCAUUUGCAGACAAUCAUCUCUUCGUAACCCUGAUAAAAUAUAAAGAUCAUAUAUGGAGAAAAUUACCGAUAAUCGAUCCUAAUAAUACAGAUCGAGGACCUCUCUUAUGAUUAACCAAAAUUAGGAUUUGUCUAUGUAUCUGGAUCCUCCACUGAUCCAUAAGAAUUUUAGAGAGAGAAAAUUCAUGAAGAGAGAGAAAAUUUUAGAGAGAGAAAGUAGAGAGAGAAAUUUUCGUAUCCUUCCGAUGAGGCACUCAUGAUCGAGAUCAUCAGAGGUCCUAUCAGGGUGACUCAAUAUGAAUCAAGUGUUACAAAUUUCGAAUAGGAUCAAACUGGGAUCAGAUCUACCGCACGAAUUUCGGAGCAACCUCAGAUCAUCUUAUUUUCAUCUCAAUUUUAUCCUAGGGUCUGUGAUGAAAUCAGAGAGAGAGGAAGACUCUAGAGAGACAAAAUCCAU